CCGGGCUGGACGGGCGGUCCGGCGAGUGGGUCGCCGAGGUCGACGGCGUCGACCGGACGGUGCGGGUGCCGUGGCUCGGCCC
rnacentral:tRNA from 1 species